UACAGAGGGUGCAAGCGUUAAUCGGAGUUACUGGGCGUAAAGGGCGCGUAGGUGGCUACAUAAGUUAGACGUGAAAGCCCUGGGCUCAACCUAGGAACGGCGUUUAAGACUGUGUAGCUGGAGUACAGUAGAGGGCGGCAGAAUUUCCGGUGUAGCGGUGAAAUGCGUAGAGAUCGGAAGGAACACCGGUGGCGAAGGCGGCCGCCUGGACUGAUACUGACACUGAGGCGCGAGAGCGUGGGGAGCAAACAGG
rnacentral:rRNA from 1 species